UGGCAGUGCAAGGGGAUUCCAGAGCAGCCUGGUCUGGUGAAUUUCUUCUGGCUUAGUACAAAAGAAACAUCUCCUAUCUGAAUGGUGAAGCACCUUGGAUUGAGGCUGUCCUGAAGAGGGGAUUUUGGCCCUUGGAAUAAAAAAGGUGAGGAAGUGAAGGAGUUAUGGGGCUAAAAGGAGGCUUGCAAUGAAAAGAUUCAAAGCAGGAAUUAGGAACUACAUUAUUCACUCAGAUCCUAUGCAAUUUCACAACCCACUUUUCCAGUCCUUAUGAUUAACUUUGGGGUACCAUUCACCAGGAAGGAGAGCUUUCUACCUGAUAAGGCAUUGGAUAAGAGAUGUUACUGGCCAAAAUCCA
rnacentral:lncRNA from 1 species